CCUACGGGAGGCAGCAGUGAGGAAUAUUGGUCAAUGGCCGAGAGUCUGAACCAGCCAAGUCGCGUGAGGGAAGACGGCCCUACGGGUUGUAAACCUCUUUUGUCGGGGAGCAAAGCGAGUCACGUGUGACUCCUUGAGCGUACCCGAAGAAAAAGCAUCGGCUAACUCCGUGCCAGCAGCCGCGGUAAUACGGAGGAUGCGAGCGUUAUCCGGAUUUAUUGGGUUUAAAGGGUGCGUAGGCGGAAUGCCAAGUCAGCGGUAAAAUCGCGGGGCUCAACCUCGCUCCGCCGUUGAAACUGGCGUUCUUGAGUGGGCGAGAAGUAUGCGGAAUGCGUGGUGUAGCGGUGAAAUGCAUAGAUAUCACGCAGAACUCCGAUUGCGAAGGCAGCAUACCGGCGCCCAACUGACGCUGAAGCACGAAAGCGUGGGUAUCGAACAGGAUUAGAUACCCUUGUAGUC
rnacentral:rRNA from 1 species